rnacentral:ncRNA from 1 species
UUCGCGAGGGUGCGGGCGAAGGAAGUCAGAGGCGAAACCCGGAGGACACGAACAGGAAGCGGAUACAAGGCCUUCUCGCGGGCAAGCCAGCCAUGGAUGGCGAAGCCCCAACCCUAACCGUAGCGAGGUGGUAAAUCCGCGUCCCGCCGGGCGAAAGACA